GGUUAAGCGACUAAGCGUACACGGUGGAUGCCCUGGCAGUCAGAGGCGAUGAAGGACGUGCUAAUCUGCGAUAAGCGUCGGUAAGGUGAUAUGAACCGUUAUAACCGGCGAUUUCCGAAUGGGGAAACCCAGUGUGAUUCGUCACACUAUCAUUAACUGAAUCCAUAGGUUAAUGAGGCGAACCGGGGGAACUGAAACAUCUAAGUACCCCGAGGAAAAGAAAUCAACCGAGAUUCCCCCAGUAGCGGCGAGCGAACGGGGAGCAGCCCAGAGCCUGAAUCAGUGUGUGUGUUAGUGGAAGCGUCUGGAAAGGCGUGCGAUACAGGGUGACAGCCCCGUACACAAAAAUGCACAUAUUGUGAGCUCGAUGAGUAGGGCGGGACACGUGGUAUCCUGUCUGAAUAUGGGGGGACCAUCCUCCAAGGCUAAAUACUCCUGACUGACCGAUAGUGAACCAGUACCGUGAGGGAAAGGCGAAAAGAACCCCGGCGAGGGGAGUGAAAAAGAACCUGAAACCGUGUACGUACAAGCAGUGGGAGCACGCUUAGGCGUGUGACUGCGUACCUUUUGUAUAAUGGGUCAGCGACUUAUAUUCUGUAGCAAGGUUAACCGAAUAGGGGAGCCGAAGGGAAACCGAGUCUUAACUGGGCGUUAAGUUGCAGGGUAUAGACCCGAAACCCGGUGAUCUAGCCAUGGGCAGGUUGAAGGUUGGGUAACACUAACUGGAGGACCGAACCGACUAAUGUUGAAAAAUUAGCGGAUGACUUGUGGCUGGGGGUGAAAGGCCAAUCAAACCGGGAGAUAGCUGGUUCUCCCCGAAAGCUAUUUAGGUAGCGCCUCGUGAAUUCAUCUCCGGGGGUAGAGCACUGUUUCGGCAAGGGGGUCAUCCCGACUUACCAACCCGAUGCAAACUGCGAAUACCGGAGAAUGUUAUCACGGGAGACACACGGCGGGUGCUAACGUCCGUCGUGAAGAGGGAAACAACCCAGACCGCCAGCUAAGGUCCCAAAGUCAUGGUUAAGUGGGAAACGAUGUGGGAAGGCCCAGACAGCCAGGAUGUUGGCUUAGAAGCAGCCAUCAUUUAAAGAAAGCGUAAUAGCUCACUGGUCGAGUCGGCCUGCGCGGAAGAUGUAACGGGGCUAAACCAUGCACCGAAGCUGCGGCAGCGACGCU
rnacentral:rRNA from 1 species